CCUCAUGCCUCUAUCUCUUAGAACACAUUGUGAAAGGUAAAACGGUUUUCUUCAUUCAUCAACCCAGAUUUAACUAAUCAGAGGCCUGGGGUCAGCAUAUUGGGGUGUGUGGAGAGGGGAAGCGAGAUUAUUGGCAAUAAACCAUGAGAUAAUUUGUAUUGGGAUUGGCUUAAUUUUACUUCUAAACAGCAAGAGCUGUGGCUUGUGCUGCUUCUUUCCUCAUCCAAAGCUGCCCAAGGUCUCCACAAGCUGCUUGGGAAGGACCCAACCCGGAUGAACAUCUGCAUCACUCCAGUGUCUAAUAGUUAACACUGUUAAGGAAACGCACUUCUCAAGUAUAACUGUGCGGUAGUGUCUUCACCUAAGCUUCAGGAGCCUGUAUGAGGGUAAAUGGGUGGCAGGUCCAGCCAGGGUAGCUACAAAUGAGCUCAAUCCUGCCUCACUGCUGGUUUUGAUGCUGGGGCAAUAUCCUGCUCAACCCUGCCUCUGUCAUGUUGGCCAUGAAACCUCCCCAUGAAGAGCAUGUACGCUCACAGUCACGAGCAGUGCUCUGCUGCGUCCGAGCAGAGUUAUGCAUAACUGCAUUGAGACUCUGUAGACAAGACCAAAUUGGGGGGUUAUUUCAUCUGGAGAGAUGAUUCUUUUGAGUUUAGCAACUUCUUCAAGCAUGUGAAUGUGUAGCACUAUAGUGGUGGGUGCUUGGAGUACUUCAGCUUGAUGGUGCUGUGAUUAUGUAUCUUGUCAGCCUUUUUUCACUUAGGAUUUCACUGAGCAUUUUAUUUCCUUCACAAGCUCAAUAUGCAGAUGUCUGUUAAUGAGGGAUCUAAUGCUUCAGAGCUUCCAGCCUAUCCUGUCAGCUGUCCUGCAGACUAAAGGGAGAUUUUGCCCCAAAAAAGGUCUAAAAUCCCUGGCAGUGUUCAAGGCCAGCUUGGACGAGGCUUGGAGCAACCUGCUCUAGUGGAAGGUGUCCCUGCCCGUGGCAGGGGGUUGGAACUGGAUGAGCUUUAAGGUCCCUUCCAACCCAAACCAUUCUGUGGACCUAUGAUAACAUGUGUCUUGAGGAAUAGACUCUGGGAUAUUCUAUUCUGGCCCACGGGCCUCACCUUUUUAUUCCUAAUAACUGUGAAGUGCCACAAAUCUGACCUGCUGCUGGUUUUCACCCAUUUGGUGCUCUGCUUUCCUUCCAGAAGCUGAGCAUCAUCACCCUUCUGGGGUUAGAUCUUGCCUCAAACCAGUGUGAGAAGCGUCUCUGAGGGUGUCAGCAGCGCUGGGCUGGUGUUGAACUGCCAUUGGCAGCCAGCUCCAGAUGCUGCCAGGUCAGGAGGAUUCUUCCUGGGCUUGCAAGAAGGUUGGGGCAGGCUCCAGGAGCUGCUCUAUUGGCUGAGCAGCAGCUGCAGAUGUUGCUUCAGCUCUGCCAUAGCUCCUAAAACGGGGAUUUUCAGUUUAUAGGAGCUUACACUGAGGAAAAGUAAAGGAAAAUCAGCAUCAGUGUUCUUGGAAGUACCGCUGCGUUUGUGCCAGAGGAUGUAUGUGAGGAGCACCUGCGGUGGGAAGAUGGAUAAGGCUGGGAAGGAGCUAACACCAGCCGGGUUGAUCGGGGCUGCUUUCUCCACCACACAGCCCGCACAAAGCACUUGUGUGAGCUCCCGAGGAGUGCUUGGAGCUGCUCCCUGUGCUGCGGGGGGGCGAGGGCAUCCCUACCAGACCAGGGGUUGCCAUCUAGCGAGCUGCAUCUGUUAGCUGCUUUGUGCAUGUGUGGGCUCUUUUUGCUGUGGUUGUUCCCCCAGGCACUGCAAAUGUCACAGGAGAGUCUCGCUCAGAAGCACCCUUGGGGAACUGUUUUCUGCACUGAAACACUGAAGAGCGUCAUCUGUAAGAAUAAAACCUUUUGUAAUCGAGCGAGAUACUUUGGUUCAUCUGGUGUGCCUUUUACAAGGGCUCUGUCCCGAGGAACUAAGGCUUGAUCCUUUUUAGCUUUUCUGUCUUAAAAGAAGCGUGCCCCUUUGAAUAGAAGUGGGUUCUGUUUGGUUGGAUCAAGGUCACACUAUCAAAUGACUUCAUUUUCUAAAGCACGCACUGAGUUUCCUCAGAUACACUAAAUUCCGUUUUGUUGCUGUUGGGUUUUACAUGUAUUGUCUGAUUUUACUGGAGAUUUUGGUGGAAAAGCAAACAAUCUUAGUAGUUUUCCAUACGUUUAAAGAUGUGAUAAAGGGAUGACAAGAACCCUUCGCUUCCUUUUAAAGUGUUGGAAUCUCACCUUUCCUUAAUGAUGAUUUACUGAUGACCAACAAAGGGUUCACCAUGAAUAGUUGUUCCUGUGUCAGUAGUUUGUGACUUAAACAGUCUGGGUCUUUUCCAAAGCUGCUUCAAGAAAGCAGAGAGAUUCCUUUUAUUUUCUUGGACGGGCUUUUGAAACAGGCUCACUUAACUAUUGAAUGACCUGAGCUUGGGAUUGCUCUCAUACAACCUGACCAUUGAUGAUGGGUCAUCUUCGCUGAGCUUAUGUAGUUGUUCAAACACUGUUAGUAAAAAAGAUGCAGAAGUUUCUUGUAAACUCCUUUUGUUUGGUGGCUUUUUGAAUAAACUGCU
rnacentral:lncRNA from 1 species